UGCUGGUCUCAGAGGGCCAGAACUUCAACAGGCUUUGAAGUAUGUCAGUGUAUCCUUCUGUGAGUGCCUGUGCAUCCUUGGUCUGUCAACUUGUCAUGAAGAAAGGGACCAUGGGCUCCAGCUCAGACUCCAGGGAGCUGCUCAGUUUCCACCGACCUGACACAAGCUGAGUCACCUUCGGGAGAGGAGCCCUCAAGAGGAACUGCUGGCGUCCAGGCAGCCCUUUUGCACAUCUGAUUUACCUUCUACCAUGUUAUGAAGCAACAUGAAAGAAUUCAGGAAGUGCUUUGCUCUUGGACUCCACAACUGUACGCCAAACAAACUAUUGUUUAUAUGGCUUAUGUCAUUUAAUGUUAUACACCCAAUGGUUGGAGAACACUCCAGACUUUCUUUCCUGCUAGGACUGAGCAGUGUAUAUGUGUUACAUUUUGCUUAUCCUUGAUGGACACCUUGAUAACUUUAUCCUCUGUGAAUAAUGCUUUUAUGAACACGGGUAUAUAGAUGCCUUUUUAAGAACUUAGAAUUCUUUUGGGUAAAUAGAGAAAUUGGAACGACACAUUUCCUGGAUCUUAUGGUAAUCUUCUUUUUAACUGAUUGAGAAAUCACUAUUUUCUACAGUGGCCAUACCAUUCAGAUUCCUAUCAGCAUUACACAGUUCAUGAUUUCACUACGCUCUCUUCAACAUUUAUGAUUGUGUUGACUUAUUUUUUUAUAGCAACCAUUACCAAAGUUUCAAAGUGAUAAUUCAUUAUAGUUUGGAUUUGCAUUUUCUUAAUUAUUAAUAAUGUUGAAAAUAUUUUUAUGGACCUAUUGGUCAUAUGUAUAUCUUCUUUAGGGACAAAUCUGUUCAACUCCUUUGCUCAUAGAAGGCUUUGUUUUGAAAAAUUACAAUAGUUCCUCUUUUCAUGUUUUUCACAAACUCAGCUUCAAUUUAUAAUUGAUUUCUACUUUCUCUAUGAAGCCCUUUCUGGCUUUCCUAGGUAGAAUUAGUGACUUCCUUUUUGUGUGUUUCAUCUACAUCUUAACCUCUUAAAAUAUUUAUGGCGGUACAUACUAAUUAUCCAAUUAAACAAAUGUAUUUCUUCCCUCCAGCACACAGGAUCAAUGACUAUGCCUUAUUAAUUUUUACACACAUAAUACUAAUCACCAUAUUUGGCACAUAGUAGGUAUCCAAUGAAUGCCUGUUGAUUAAUGAUUAAGUCAAUAUUAUCUACUUGUACAAUAAAAUGCUGAACUUUAUGGAUAAUUAUAUAUUUAAAACAUGGCUUAUUAGGAAGUUAAUAAAUUAUUUUUAUUAAAAGUACCCUAUUGGUUUUUUCCUACCAAAAAUAAGUGUUAAUUUGUAACUCUGGAGGAACACUAAAAUCAUUUCAUUUCGUGGUUUACUUUCAG